ensembl:lncRNA
CUGAGUGAGCGCUCCAUCCGCAUUUCCACCCGGACGCGGUGCGGCUCGCCAGGCGACACACACGAGGGUCUGCGCGAAGUGCUCCGAUACUGUAUGUGUUGCUGGUUCGUGGGCGGAGACUGACUCGAAGUAAAAAUUGUAUGAGGAAACCCUCUGCAUGAAGCAGAUGAUGUCUUUGGACACGUGAAAAAGGAAGUACUAAACCGUGAGUAACGCCGCUGAGCGGUCAACGUCGUGACUAAAAAAAAAACAAAAAAAAAAAAACGUUCACCCUGAAGGUAGCGGUAUAUCAAAAACGGCGAACAGUCGAAGCAUAGUGUCCCGACGUCGUUUUAGCGAGUCCGGUAAAUACCUAAACGACUCGAAAACAAACAAGCUGUGCAUCGGGACGGCUUUCCGUCACGUUUUUAUUACCUUACUGCAAACACUGGCAGAUCACUUCAUCACUUCAGCAUGGCAUUUCACAACGGGCAUUUAAUUUAUGACAGGAUUUCAUAAAGCAUGCAAGAUCUCCUGCCAAACCACACACCGACAACAAUGCCGUCUUAAAACCGAGCGCUGCUUGUCCGUAUUAAUAACGCUCUGUGGUGCAGUGCAGUGUUUACACAUUAUACACUACAUACUACGUUACCUCCGGAGAUCAUGACAACCGGUGACUUUACUCGUCUAGUGUCCAUCUGAACAAAGCGAUUAGAUUGAGGACAGGCGUGCUUCUUCCAUGCUCCAAACAUGUCUAGGUUAUAUCUGGAACAUCUGAAGGAAUUCUUAUUUUUAAAUUUUGUUCAGAUCGGUUCGAUCGCUUGUUUGUUUGUUUGUUUUUAAUGUAUACAGAGUACAGAUGUCAUACAGGUGUUCUUUGUAUCCUGCGAGAUGUAACGAUGGUUUAUCUGAUUAUUCAUAGAAAGCUUGAUCUAGCACUAGAUCCAACAUACAGACCGGAACACUUUCGGACAAUCAUCCUGGAGUUAACUCAUCGUACUGAUUGUUCAUAAAGGCACCAGGGUGGCAUGAUGAAAAUAAAGAGGGGCCCCUUUGAUUUUUUCUGCUGCUGUACUCAUAAUCGGCUCGGGCGCUGAUUAUCUGAAGAACCUCCGAGGAAGAAUGUAGGGGGGUUUUUCUUUGGUGGAAAAGAACCAGAAGUGGGGUAAAUAUCCAUCCGUCCAUCCUUCCAUCCAUUUUCUGUACUGCUUAUCGUACACAGUGUCGCAGGGAGCCUUGAGCCUAUCCCAGGGGACUCGGGGCAUGAGGUGAGGGACACUCUGGAAGGGGUGCCAACCCAUUGCAGGUCACAAUCGCACACACGCCCAUUCACACACUACGGACGAUUUAGAGAUGCCGAUCGGCCUACAACGCAUGUCUUUGGAGUGGGGGAGGAAACCUCUAAAGCACGGGGAAAACAUGCAAACUCCGUGCACACAGGGUUGAGUUGAAGUGGGACUCAAACCCCCAACCCCGCAGGUGCGAGGCAAACACGCGAACCACUAAGUGGGGCAAAUAUGCUUUAUUAUUAUUAUUAUAACAAAUUAAUAAAAAGGUAAACUGAUGUACACCACGUCUACGGUAAAGUCAGCUGGACACCAAACCGUGACAAACCACUGCACCACAGCAUCCCUAUAUUAAAGAAGAGUAAUUUACUUAGGGAGUGGUUCAGUGAUUCAUCAGAAGGUUGUGAGUUCUAAUCCCAACACACACACACACACACACACACACACACCCACACCCAGCUGCCACCAAUGGGCACUCGAGCAAGACUUUUAACCUCCUUAACUUGCACAAAUGUGUCCUGUCUCGUUGUGAGAACACAUCAGACAAAUGAGUACUGUAUAUGCAAGUCAUAAAGCCUACUGUACUACAUACCAGUGCGUUAUAUUGAAGAAAGAGAAGAAAAGGCAGGUGGAAACCCAACUGGCAUUGAGAUAAGACUUACCGAGAAGCCGGCCCAGAAAGGACAGGAAUGCCUGACUCUGGGAGAGGUAGUAAGAGCCAAAGCGGCGAAGCUCACAGCCAAAAUGAGACUCCCGAGCACCAUCUGCGCCACACCGAGCGACAGCAUGAGGCGAGUCCGCGUUCGGAGCUCCCUGAGCCGGGAAAGGCUGCGGGACAGCGCCGCCGGACUCAGAGAGCCGCCCCCUGCUCUCGGCAUGGCGUUCACAGGCAUGAUCACGACGACAAAAGGGAUCGGAGUUCAACUCGAAAACUUCAAACGCAGUACUUCCUAAUUCAGAAUUCAGUUCUCCGAGCACAUGAAGCGCGGUGCGCAGCGUGAUGGGAGUGCGCGCGGGGCAUCCUGAGCUCUCUCCGUCAGCACAUUCAGGGGAGAAACGUGCUCCCUUAACGUUACACUGCUGUUCGUGCUGUCUCACCGCGCUGCUCUUCAGGUGCAAGACAAGACGAAGAAGAAGUAUCUCCAAAGUAAAUUUGGAAAGAACGUUAUCCGGAAGGGGGGGGGGGGGGUUUAAAAAAUUAUUAUUAUUAUUAUAAUUAUACAAGGCGCACUUUGAGGACGCGCGCACUAGAGGUGAUCCAUCAAAUCCAUGUCAGAGCGUCACGGUUCCUAAAGCGACCAGUCGUCCUCCUUGAGUCAGCACUGAUAAUAAGUGACAAAUAAAGAUGAUGGAAACAAAAUGUGAAUAAUAAUAAUAAUAAUAAUAAUUUAAAUGAAAUUCAAGGCGCGCUUUUUUUUGGUGUUAGUGAGCUGGAUGGUGCGUCCGCGUCCGGCAGGUGAUGCAGUGUGUGUUAAAAGGCUGCAUAUGGCGCGUUUCUCUCUCUCUUUCUCUCUCUCUCGCUCUCUCUCAUACACACGCACACACACACACACACACACCACAGCACUGGCUUUGACACCAAGGACGCGAACACCAUCUACCGUCACCCUCAUCGAUAGAAGGAAAACUGAAUGUGCGGUUCUCCUGAUCUUCACAUUCAGCACAUUUAGAAGACGCUUCUGGGAUGUAGAGGUCGUCCUGCGCCUCAAAGACAUUCAAUUGAGGACGGAAAGACCAUGCUUUUUUAUUUGAUUUUUUGGUCAAUAUAUAUAUAUAUAUUGUGUGUGUGUGUGAAACAUGAGCCGCACUCAGCAAUGUUAUAGUAAAACAACAGGAUGUGUUAUGGUCAUUUUAUUAUUAUUAUUAUUAUUUUUAUUUUUUUUUAAAGGUAAGGCAUGUUCUGAAUUAGGUCCGUUUGACACGCAUUUGUAUUACAAGACGUGUGAAAAUAUCUUCUAAAAUAUCCCCACCUAGAGGCCAGGCAUGAGAACUGCACAAUUGCGCUAGUGCUGGACGUGACACGUUUCUCAUACAAUGCGCUGAAAAAUGCAUCCAAAUGUGUUCCGAUAGCAGUGAAAAGAAACACGUGAAACCAACCACACGGCUCAAUAUACAAAAACAAAAAAAGGUACCGAAGUGUACUUUUCCCGAUCAGUAAGAGUACCUGUUUUGGACAUUGAGUGUACAUCGAGCUUUAAGCCGUACGUACAGGAUUGCGUGGAGUUUUGUUUGUGAUUGUCGCGGCCAAGGAGGCUAGAUUUAUCUGCGUUUUUUUCUCUCUCUCUCUCUCUCUCAAAAUCCUCGAUGCAGAAAGAUACCGGGAUCGGCGAAAUCGCAGUGGCGCGAAAUUGUUUUGCGCGAACUUUCGCAGUGAUGUUUGUGGGUAAAUGACACCUUUUAGCUGUAAUCAUGUUCGACGCACGUGAAUCGAUGGGGGCUUUGGUUAAAAGCGCGUUGUGAUGAUGUCACAUGGUACGUUGUGAUGACGUCACGUGAUGGUUCUUGGCCCGAAUCUGCAGAACGUCUGCAGCGACCUUUUCCCUCCCCCGAGAGCGUAAACACUCGGUCUGGUCAUUCCUUUUGACGAUGGCGUUUAGUCAACUCCAGAAUUUUUGUCACCCUUUGAGAAAACGGGCAAAAAGUCAUUUAUUUAUCCAUCUUCAGUAAAGCUCUUCAGGAUCACAGUGGAUCUGAAGUCCGUCCCGGGAACACCUACCAGGACAGAAAUGUUUCCUCAUAGAAUGAAGGCGAUCAGCCAAGCUCUAAGUACGCCGGUGUUAGCACGGAGGGUAGAAUGAUGAUCUCUAAGGACUGAAUUUAAGCAAGAAAAGCCCAAAGCAGAUCCUAAAUCUGUGCUCAUAUACCGAGAGGUGGAUGGUAUUUGGUAGUGACGUAGUUUGCUCCAGAGACUUCCCCUCAUUAGCAUCAUGCUAGCAGGAAACUCUAUGCUCUAUCUCUGCAUUCUGUCCUUCUUGUCCUGCUCCAGUUAAGAGAAGUGACCCAACAACACACCGAGCUGGAGGCGGAUGAAGAGGAAAUGGAUGUGCUGAGAGAUUUGUCACCGUGCCGUGCUUGGUCGCUGGGAGGGAGGUGAUUUAACACACUUCAGACUCUCCUGCUGUCACUAAAUGCUUCACUUUACCAGUGCUUCAGGGAGGAACGCAGUCAUAUCACAAGAACCCAAAAUUCAUGUGAAAUAUAGGCAGAGAGAGAGACGGAGACAGACACAGACAGGGCUUCAUCUCUUUUAUGAAAUGCAUAUGAAGUACGGACGGAGAGAAAGACACGCUACAUUGAUAUGGAACAUAGAAACAGCAGGAGAUGGACGACGCCGAGACUCACUUUCUCCGCAUUCAAAAAGGCUGCCCGAACCUUGUUUAUAUGUCUCUCUGCCAUAUACUCUUAAGGGUUCUUCUCUUGCUGGUUCUUCUACUGUUGUAGAACACCACGACGAGGACUUUUCCUAUCAGAAAGGGUUCCGAGCAGAACACAGAGAACCAAGCGAAGAACACUGAUUAGCAAGAAUGCUGACUAGGAGUCUAUCUGCCAUGCACUUUUUUUUAAAAACUCUGAAGGGUUCGUCGGUUGUCCUUCCAUCAACUGAGUGUUUCAGUAUCGGAAAUGGUUCCAAGUAGAACACACAGGGUCGACCGAAGAACACCGAUUAGGAAGAAUGCUGAUUAAGAGACUAUCUGCCAUAUAUCUAAAAAAAAAAAAAAAAUU